UGUAGUUUGUUUUGACAUUUCCGUUUUAUUUAACCUAACCUAUGUUUUGUGUUUUAUUGUGUUGUAUUGUUGUAUACAAGGAGUUGUAUAUUGAAAUUGAAUUGAUUCUUGUUUCAUUGAAUAUAGAGGAGUUGUUCUGUUGCAAGUUGUUCUAGUUUUGUUGUUUUAAAAUCUGCGAAAAACUAUUUAUAGAUAAUGGUGAACUUAAACAAGAAAUGGACAUGCAGUUUGCUGAUUACUUAAUUGUGUACUCACAACACAUAGGAUUUCUCUGACACAGUUUCCAGUACAGAACUGCCACAGGAAUCUCCAGUGGAGUUGCAACCGCUCUCACGGACAUCCACAAAUCAAGUUACAAAACUGUUACAUGACUCUAUUGGAGUUGCAACCGCAAUUGGAUAAAAGUGAAAUUCGAAUAAUGCCAGAAAGACUAUAACCGUCCAAAGUGAUAGUGUGAAAUUAAAAUCAAAUGAUUACGUAUAAAUCAUAUUUAUAAUAAUUAUAAAUAGUAGCUGUAUUUUUUAAAUAAACAGAUUUGAUAAGUUA
rnacentral:lncRNA from 1 species